AUUGAACGCUGGCGGCAGGCCUAACACAUGCAAGUCGAGCGGAGCGGCAGACGGGGGAGUAAUGCUUAGGAAUCUGCCUGGUAGUGGGGGAUAGCGACAGGAAACGGGAGCUAAUACUGCAUCCUAUCAGCUUCGCAUAGGUCGGAUUGGCUAGUUGGUGGGGUAAGGGCAUACCAAGGCGACGAUCCGUACCUGGUCUGGGAGGAUGAUCAGUCACACUGGAACUGAGACACGGUCCAGACUCCUACGGGAGGCAGCAGUGGGGAAUAUUGGACAAUGGGCGAAAGCCUGAUCCAGCCAUGCCGCGUGUAUGAAGAAGGUCUUCGGAUUGUAAAGUACUUUAAGUUGGGAGGCGUUACCAACAGAAUAAGCACCGGCUAACUUCGUGCCAGCAGCCGCGGUAAUAC
rnacentral:rRNA from 1 species